ACCUGGUGAACUGAAAUAUCUAAGUAACCAGAGGAAAAGAAAUCAACCGAGAUUCCGUCAGUAGCGACGAGCGAACGCGGACUAGCCCUUAAGCUGGAUUGGUUCUAGGAAAACACUCUGGAAAGAGUGGCCAUAGAAGGUGACAGCCCUGUAUCUGAAAGGGCCAUUCCAGUGAAGACGAGUAGGGCGGGGCACGUGAAACCCUGUCUGAACAUGGGGGGACCAUCCUCCAAGGCUAAAUACUACUGACCGACCGAUAGUGAACCAGUACCGUGAGGGAAAGGCGAAAAGAACCCCGGAGAGGGGAGUGAAAUAGAACCUGAAACCGUGUGCGUACAAGCAGUAGGAGCUCCGCAAGGAGUGACUGCGUACCUUUUGUAUAAUGGGUCAGCGACUUACUGUUCGUGGCAAGCUUAACCGUAUAGGGGAGGCGAAGGGAAACCGAGUCUGAUAAGGGCGCAUAGUCGCGGGCAGUAGACCCGAAACCGGGUGAUCUAGUCAUGCCCAGGGUGAAGGUGCGGUAACACGCACUGGAGGCCCGAACCCACUCCCGUUGCAAAGGUAGGGGAUGAGGUGUGAUUAGGAGUGAAAAGCUAAUCGAACCCGGAGAUAGCUGGUUCUCCUCGAAAGCUAUUUAGGUAGCGCCUCAUAUGUAUCCUCUCGGGGGUAGAGCACUGUUAUGGCUAGGGGGUCAUCGCGACUUACCAAACCAUUGCAAACUCCGAAUACCGAGACGGACUGUAUGGGAGACACACGGCGGGUGCUAACGUCCGUCGUGAAAAGGGAAACAACCCAGACCCACAGCUAAGGUCCCAAAUUCAGUGCUAAGUGGAAAACCAUGUGGAAAGGCACAGACAGCCAGGAGGUUGGCUUUAGAAGCAGCCACCCUUUAAAGA
rnacentral:rRNA from 1 species